UACGAAGGGGGCUAGCGUUGCUCGGAAUCACUGGGCGUAAAGGGUGCGUAGGCGGGUCUUUAAGUCAGGGGUGAAAUCCUGGAGCUCAACUCCAGAACUGCCUUUGAUACUGAAGAUCUUGAGUUCGGGAGAGGUGAGUGGAGCUGCGAGUGUAGAGGUGAAAUUCGUAGAUAUUCGCAAGAACACCAGUGGCGAAGGCGGCUCACUGGCCCGGUACUGACGCUGAGGUGCGAAAGCGUGGGGAGCAAACAGG
rnacentral:rRNA from 1 species